rnacentral:misc_RNA from 1 species
UAGUAUUCUGUCGGCCAGCGCUUUACUGCGCGGCCACAACCUCUACACAGUGAAGUAAUUUGUUUGCUUUAGUGCUUUGGGUGGAUGUUUGUCUGCCCAGAGUGCCCCCUAACCACACUUGUGAACCUUUGGCCUCUUGCCGGCUUCGGCUGGUGGAGGUUUUUUACACACACACUAGAAUGUAAUGAAAAGAUAUAUUGUAUGUGCGCAAGCACGAAUGUA